rnacentral:rRNA from 1 species
UACGGUAGGGUGCAAGCGUUGUCCGGAAUUAUUGGGCGUAAAGAGCUCGUAGGCGGUUUGUCGCGUCUGCUGUGAAAACUCGGGGCUUAACUCCGGGCCUGCAGUGGGUACGGGCAGACUAGAGUGCGGUAGGGGAGACUGGAAUUCCUGGUGUAGCGGUGAAAUGCGCAGAUAUCAGGAGGAACACCGGUGGCGAAGGCGGCGACCUGGUCCUUGACUGACGCUGGAGGCGCGAAAGCGUGGGGAGCAAACAGG